rnacentral:rRNA from 1 species
UACGUAGGGUGCAAGCGUUGUCCGGAAUUAUUGGGCGUAAAGAGCUUGUAGGCGGUUUGUCGCGUCUGCUGUGAAAUUUCGGGGCUCAACCCCGAACUUGCAGUGGGUACGGGCAGGCUAGAGUGUGGUAGGGGAGACUGGAAUUCCUGGUGUAGCGGUGAAAUGCGCAGAUAUCAGGAGGAACACCGAUGGCGAAGGCAGGUCUCUGGGCCACUACUGACGCUGAGGAGCGAAAGCAUGGGGAGCGAACAGG